rnacentral:rRNA from 1 species
GACGAACGCUGGCGGCGUGCUUAACACAUGCAAGUCGAACGCUGAAGCCUGCACCUUGUGUGUGGGUGGAUGAGUGGCGAACAGGUGAGUAACACGUGAGUAACCUGCCCCUCACUGAGGGAUAAGCCCGGGAAACUGGGUCUAAUACCGCAUAUGACACAUGCUCGCAUGGGUGUGUGUGGAAAGUGUUUCGGUUGGGGGUGGGCUCGCGGCCGUUCAGUUUGUUGGUGGGGUAAUGGCCUACCAAGACGUCUACAGGUAGCCGGCCUGCGGGGACGACCGGCCACAGUGGACGAAGACACUGCCCUGCACCCGCCGGGAGGCAGCAGCGGGGAUUAUUUCACAAUGGGGGAAACCCUGACGCAGCGACGCGGCGUGAGGGAUGACGGCGUUCGGCUUGUAAACCUCUUUGAGCAUGGAAGCAGUCGCCCCUUCGCGGGUCGUGACGGUACCUGCAGAAGAAGUACCGGCUAACUACGUGCCAGCCGCCGCCGUAAUAC